GGUUCGCGAUCCUCCUCUCUGGCUCCGGGCUGCGCGCAGAGUCUGGGUGGCGAGCGAAUGGUGCCUGCGAUCUUCUGCCUCGGGGAGCCGGCUGUCUUCCUUGUGCUAAAAAAACGGAGGAAGUCUGUCUGCCACAGGGCAGAGGGUGGUAUCCAAAGGGUCUCCUCUCCUUGAGUGACUGGUUCCUCCAUUGGAUCUCAGCUCGUAGCUCCUGACCUCAAGCAAGUGCUACUGAAGUGGAAAUGUCUUAUAUCCUGUUUUGUGAUUCCCUGCCUCAGAGCU
ensembl:antisense Tbx3os1 T-box 3, opposite strand 1